UACGUAGGGGGCAAGCGUUGUCCGGAAUCAUUGGGCGUAAAGCGCGUGUAGGCGGCUCGACAAGUCUGCUGUGAAAGUUCAGGGCUCAACCCUGAAAUGCCGGUGGAAACUGUCGAGCUAGAGUACGGAAGAGGUGAGUGGAAUUCCUGGUGUAGCGGUGAAAUGCGCAGAUAUCAGGAGGAACACCAAUGGCGAAGGCAGCUCACUGGGACGUUACUGACGCUGAGACG
rnacentral:rRNA from 1 species